rnacentral:rRNA from 1 species
UUCAAGUCUUUAAGAGCAAACGGUGGAUGCCUUGGCAUCUGGAGCCGAAGAAGGACGUAGCAAUCUGCGAUAAGCCUCGGGGAACUGAUAAGCAAGUUUUGAUCCGAGGGUGUCCGAAUGGGGAAACCCCGCCAGGCGUUUGUGCGACCUGGUGACUCCCGCCUGAAUAUAUAGGGCGGGUAGAGGGAACGUGGGGAAGUGAAACAUCUCAGUACCCACAGGAAGAGAAAACAACAGUGAUUCCGUGAGUAGUGGCGAGCGAAAGCGGAUGAGGCUAAACCGGGUGUGUGUGAUAGCCGGCAGGCGUUGCAUGCCCGGGGUUGCGGGACUUUUCUUAUCAUUCUGCCGAGUGGUGAACGUGAUGUGACGAUAUAGACGAACCGUCUUGAAAGGCGGGCCAUAGUGGGUGCCAGCCCCGUAGUCGAAAUGUUGUGUGCAGCGUGAAGAGUAUCCCAAGUAGCACGGGGCCCGAGAAAUCCCGUGUGAAUCUGUCAGGACCACCUGAUAAGCCUAAAUACUCCCAGAUGACCGAUAGCGGACAAGUACCGUGAGGGAAAGGUGAAAAGUACCCCGGGAGGGGAGUGAAAUAGUACCUGAAACCGUUUGCUUACAAACCGUUGGAGCCUCCUUAGUAGGGGUGACAGCGUGCCUUUUGAAGAAUGAGCCUGCGAGUUAGUGAUAUGUGGCGAGGUUAACCCGUGUGGGGUAGCCGUAGCGAAAGCGAGUCUGAAUAGGGCGUUUUCAGUCGCAUGUUCUAGACCCGAAGCGAAGUGAUCUAUCCAUGGCCAGGUUGAAGCACGUGUAAGAGCGUGUGGAGGACCGAACCCACUUAGGUUGAAAACUGAGGGGAUGAGCUGUGGAUAGGGGUGAAAGGCCAAUCAAACUUCGUGAUAGCUGGUUCUCUCCGAAAUGCAUUUAGGUGCAGCGUUGCGUGUUUCUUGCCGGAGGUAGAGCUACUGGAUGGCCGAUGGGCCUCACCAGGUUACUGACGUCAGCCAAACUCCGAAUGCCGGUAAGUGAGAGCGCAGCAGUGAGACUGUGGGGGAUAAGCUUCAUAGUCGAGAGGGAAACAACCCAGACCACCAUCUAAGGUCCCAAAGCGCGUGCUAAGUGGAAAAGGAUGUGGAGUUGCUUAGACAACCAGGAGGUUGGCUUAGAAGCAGCCACCCUUGAAAGAGUGCGUAAUAGCUCACUGGUCAAGUGAUUCCGCGCCGACAAUGUAACGGGGCUCAAGCACGCCACCGAAGUUGUGGCAUUGACAUUUUUGGUAGGCCUUCGUGGUCCAGCCGUGUUGAUGGGUAGGAGAGCGUCGUGUGGCGAGUGAAGCGGCGGUGUAAACCAGCCGUGGACGCCACACGAGUGAGAAUGCAGGCAUGAGUAGCGAAAGACGUGUGAGAAACACGUCCUCCGGAAGACCAAGGGUUCCAGGGUCAAGCUAAUCUUCCCUGGGUAAGUCGGGACCUAAGGCGAGGCCGACAGGCGUAGUCGAUGGACAACGGGUUGAUAUUCCCGUACCGGCGAAGAACCGCCCCAGUCAAUCCAGUAAUGCUAAGUGUCCAAAGCCAUCCAUCGAACCCUUCGGGGUUCACCGGGUGGUGGAGCACACGACCCUAUGCUGGUGCGGCUAGCGUAUUAACAGGUGUGACGCAGGAAGGUAGCCCAGCCAGGCGAUGGUUGUCCUGGUGCAAGUGCGUAGGCCGAGUCAUAGGCAAAUCCGUGACUCAUACAGGCUGAGACACGAUGCGAAUAAAAAGUGGGUGAUCCUAUGCUGCCAAGAAAAGCAUCGACGCGAGGUUCAAGCCGCCCGUACCCCAAACCGACUCAGGUGGUCAGGUAGAGAAUACCAAGGAGAUCGAGAGAAUCGUGGUUAAGGAACUCGGCAAAAUGCCCCCGUAACUUCGGGAGAAGGGGGGCCACCCGCUUAUACGGACUUGCUCCGAAAAGGGUGUGGUGGCCGCAGAGACUAGUGGGUAGCGACUGUUUACUAAAAACACAGGUCCGUGCGAAGACGCAAGUCGAUGUAUACGGACUGACGCCUGCCCGGUGCUGGAAGGUUAAGAGGACCGGUUAGCCGCAAGGCGAAGCUGAGAAUUUAAGCCCCAGUAAACGGCGGUGGUAACUAUAACCAUCCUAAGGUAGCGAAAUUCCUUGUCGGGUAAGUUCCGACCUGCACGAAUGGCGUAACGACUUCCCAACUGUCUCAACCGCGAACUCGGCGAAAUUGCA